GAUGAACGCUAGCUACAGGCUUAACACAUGCAAGUCGCGGGGCAGCAUGGGGGUUGCUUGCAACUCCCGAUGGCGACCGGCGCACGGGUGAGUAACGCGUAUCCAACCUGCCCUUCACCACGGGAUAACCCGGCGAAAGUCGGACUAAUACCGAAUGUCGUCCAUUGACGGCAUCCGAUUUGGACGCAAGGCUUUGCGGUGAAGGAUGGGGAUGCGUCCGAUUAGCUAGGCGGGGGGGUAACGGCCCACCGUGGCUAUGAUCGGUAGGGGUUCUGAGAGGGAGGUCCCCCACAGUGGAACUGAGACACGGGCCAGACUCCUACGGGAGGCAGCAGUGAGGAAUAUUGGUCAAUGGGCGUAAGCCUGAACCAGCCAAGUAGCGUGCAGGAUGACGGCCCUAUGGGUUGUAAACUGCUUUUAUGCGGGGAUAAAGUGGCCCACGUGUGGGCUUUUGCAGGUACCGCAUGAAUAAGGACCGGCUAAUUCCGUG
rnacentral:rRNA from 1 species